CACCACGCGCAGGCUGCUUCUGUCCCGACUCCCCUGAGAGUUUAGGGGGGCGGUGGUGAUAAGGGGAUGGAAGAUGACGAAUCCCCUGGCUGCCCCUCCCAGCAAGAGGGAACAAGAGGCUUUCGGCAUCCGCUUCCAGAUGUUUCCUCCCAGCUCCACUGUGGCUGAGGAGGCACCCACCCAAACAAGGGAAAGCCAAGGGUGAAGAAAGAAGGCUGGGUCACUGGUGGGUGGAGAGUUUGCCUCAGCCUCAACGUCAGCACAGAGACAUCUGUGUGGCUGUGAACUUGGAUGGCGUCUCACCCCCGUCACGGAGAAACCCUGUGUGUCUUCGGUUGAUGAGAAUCUGAGCCAUGCCCUUGUGAUUUG